rnacentral:lncRNA from 1 species
CCUGCACUUGAGAAGAUCAUUAAACCUUCCUUUGUCCUACAUGAAUAUUUUAUCUUGGCUGGCAUAACUGCCGGGCUCCACAACUCUGAUAAAAGUAAAAUAUGAGCUGUCUUAGCAGACAGCAUUGUUCAUGGUGAAAAUAACCCUGAUUGGUAAAUUGCAUCUGACUGGGGGUACUAUGAAUGAACAACCUAUAGCAUUUGAGAGGCCAUAGAUUUGGACUCGUGAGGGCUGUGCCUUUGAACCUGCACCUGAUGCCUCUUGGGAGAAUUCUGGGAUUUAACUCCACGACUCCAGUUCUGCUGCAAAUCCUCCUGCAAGACAUGGUGAUGUUUUCAUACUGCCACUGGACAUAUGCAUGUAUGGAUUUGCCUCCAUUUCCAGGAUUGAAGAAGCAUGGACCACUGGCCAGAUCUUCCUGAACCGUUCCCAAGACUCUGUGUCACCUCCGCCUCCUGCCUGGACACCCUUACAGCCAAUCUUUGUAUGUCUUCUCUGGUGUUUAUGUCACUGUGGGAGACCCAAGAUUCUCAGGUCACACACCUCAUCCUUCCUUCUCCAAUCCUGAUUUGGCCCUGCACCCUGAUCUGUCCCUAUCACCCAUUGCCAUAUCUCUCAUGAUGCUUAAUUCCUUGCAUGCACAGUAUUUAAAUUAUCCUAGCACUUUCUGCUUGGCAGAAAUCACAGCCCUAAUUCCACUCCACUCUGCUGAACCAACACCUGGUGCAGUUGGAUGUACUGCGCCUGUAGAAAAAACCCAGAACGAGGAUGGGGGGGCAUCUCCAUUUAACUUUAUGACCAUUGCUCUGAAGUGUGCCUUUUCAGUCGCCCUGCUUGCAGGAGAGAUUUCAUUUUCACCCGGAGACAUUUAUUUUUUGCCUUCCUUUCUCCCUAAAGUCUCCAGUAGUGCCAUCUGCAGGCCACAGGUCCCUGCUGUGCAGAUGGUCCACACAAGGGCAGCUGGGGGGCAGCUGUAAGCCGAUCCCAUGCCACCUGCAUCAGCCAAAAGGAAGGGGCUCUCUCAUUCAACAGACACAAAGAACACUUACCAACACCACCAAUUCCCAAAUGCGUACCUGCAGCCUGAACCCUGUUCUGAAAUGUGGAUUUGAGGGUCCAGCAGCCCACUCAGCUCACGCAAUAGGACCCGAACCUCACAUGCAUAUAAACAAGUUCCUAAUAUUUCUCCUCAAACUCAUACCUCUGCAAUCUUUCCAUCUCAUGAAUGCAGCGUUAUCCUUCCUAAAAGCCUUGGGGGCACUCCUGACCCUCUGCUCUCUCAACCCACAUCCAACACAUCAGCAAUUUCUGUUCGCUAUACCUUCAAAAUAUAAGUAGAAUCUGAUCAGUCGUGUUUCAUGGCCAAUGUGCUCAUCCAAGCCACCAUUUUCUCAGGCUGGACUGUUACCAUCGUCUUCUAAUUGGUGUGCUUGCUUCCAUCUUUCCAACAUCCUCCCUGGCUAACACCCCAGAGCCAAAGAGACUCCAUUACAACCUAAGUCACAUAACUCUUCUGCUCAGAUGAUGCCGAUGGCUUUCCAGCUCUCUCGAAGUAACAGCUGCAAGCAUAUUUACAGUGCCCUCAGGGUCCCUUCGUGGCUGCCACGCUGACAUGACCUUAGGGACCUGGUGUCUAGUGUCACUCUCCUUGUUCACAAGCCAAGAGCUCCAGCUCCACCUGUCUCCACACCGUGCCCUGAAAUACACAGAUGUGCUGCACCCUGAGGCUUCUGCACUAGGCCCUCCACCUCGGUGUUUCUCUGAUGCUCUGCCUAGCACUGCAUGCCUUCACUCAAGGGUCUCUUUCUCAAAUUGUGACACACCACAUUCUCCU